rnacentral:misc_RNA from 1 species
GAAAUGCGAUAAGUAGUGUGAAUUGCAGAACUCAGUGAAUCAUCGAAUCUUUGAACGCACAUUGCGCCCCUUGGUAUUCCAUGGGGCAUGCCUGUUCGAGCGUCAUUUGUACCCUCAAGCUCUGCUUGGUGUUGGGUGUUUGUCCCCGUCUCCGCGCGUGGACUCGCCCCAAAGUGAUUGGCAGCCGGCGUACUGGUCCCGGAGCGCAGCACAUGUCGCGCAAACGAGUGCCUUGGUACGGCGGCGUCCAUAAGCCCCUCUCUCACGCUCUUGACCUCGGAUCAGGUAGAGAUACCCGCUGAACUUAAGC